GCCCGGGUGGUGGAAUUGGCAGACACGCCAGGCUUAGGACCUGGUGCUGCAAGGCAUGGGGGUUCGAAUCCCCCCCCGGGCA
rnacentral:tRNA from 1 species